rnacentral:rRNA from 1 species
AUUGAACGCUGGCGGCAGGCCUAACACAUGCAAGUCGAGCGGUAGAAGGGAGCUUGCUUCCUUUGAGAGCGGCGGACGGGUGAGUAAUGCCUAGGAAUCUGCCUGGUAGUGGGGGAUAACGUUCGGAAACGGACGCUAAUACCGCAUACGUCCUACGGGAGAAAGUGGGGGAUCUUCGGACCUCACGCUAUCAGAUGAGCCUAGGUCGGAUUAGCUAGUUGGUGAGGUAAUGGCUCACCAAGGCGACGAUCCGUAACUGGUCUGAGAGGAUGAUCAGUCACACUGGAACUGAGACACGGUCCAGACUCCUACGGGAGGCAGCAGUGGGGAAUAUUGGACAAUGGGCGCAAGCCUGAUCCAGCCAUGCCGCGUGUGUGAAGAAGGUCUUCGGAUUGUAAAGCACUUUAAGUUGGGAGGAAGGGUAGUAGCUUAAUACGUUGCUACUUUGACGUUACCGACAGAAUAAGCACCGGCUAACUCUGUGCCAGCA